rnacentral:rRNA from 1 species
ACUACGGGUGGCAGCAGUGGGGAAUAUUGGGCAAUGGGCGCAAGCCUGACCCAGCAACGCCGCGUGAAGGAAGAAGGCUUUCGGGUUGUAAACUUCUUUUAUCAGGGACGAAGCAAGUGACGGUACCUGAUGAAUAAGCCACGGCUAACUACGUGCCAGCAGCCGCGGUAAUACGUAGGUGGCAAGCGUUAUCCGGAUUUACUGGGUGUAAAGGGUGUGUAGGCGGGAGUGCAAGUCAGAUGUGAAAACUAUGGGCUCAACCCAUAGCCUGCAUUUGAAACUGUACUUCUUGAGUGCUGGAGAGGCAAUCGGAAUUCCGUGUGUAGCGGUGAAAUGCGUAGAUAUACGGAGGAACACCAGUGGCGAAGGCGGAUUGCUGGACAGUAACUGACGCUGAGGCGCGAAAGCGUGGGGAGCAAACAGGAUUAGAUACCCGGGUAGUC